AACGAACGCUGGCGGCAUGCCUAACACAUGCAAGUCGAACGAGGCCCUUCGGGGUUUAGUGGCGCACGGGUGCGUAACGCGUGGGAAUCUGCCCUUUGGUUCGGAAUAACAGCUGGAAACGGCUGCUAAUACCGGAUGAUGACGAAAGUCCAAAGAUUUAUCGCCAGAGGAUGAGCCCGCGUUGGAUUAGGUAGUUGGUGGGGUAAAGGCCUACCAAGCCGACGAUCCAUAGCUGGUCUGAGAGGAUGAUCAGCCACACUGGGACUGAGACACGGCCCAGACUCCUACGGGAGGCAGCAGUGGGGAAUAUUGGACAAUGGGCGCAAGCCUGAUCCAGCAAUGCCGCGUGAGUGAUGAAGGCCCUAGGGUUGUAAAGCUCUUUUACCCGGGAAGAUAAUGACUGUACCGGGAGAAUAAGCCCCGGCUAACUCCGUGCCAGCAGG
rnacentral:rRNA from 1 species